rnacentral:rRNA from 1 species
CCUACGGGAGGCAGCAGUGGGGAAUAUUGCACAAUGGGCGAAACCCUGAUGCAGCGACGCCGCGUGAGUGAAGAAGUAUUUCGGUAUGUAAAGCUCUAUCAGCAGGGAAGAAAAUGCCGGUACCUGAUUACGAAUCCCUGGCUAACUACGUGCCAGCAGCCGCGGUAAUACGUCGGGGGCAAGCGUUAUCCGGAUUUACUGGGUGUAAAGGGAGCGUAGACGGCAGCACAAGUCUGGAGUGAAAUGCCGGGGGUUAACCCCGGAACUGCUUUGGAAACUGUGCAGCUAGAGUGCAGGAGAGGUAAGUGGAAUGCGCGGUGUAGCGGUGAAAUGCGUAGAUAUUAGGAGGAACACCAGUGGCGAAGGCGGCUUGCCGGAUUGUAACUGACGUUGAGGCUCGAAAGCGUGGGGAGCAAACAGGAUUAGAUACCCGAGUAGUC